rnacentral:pre_miRNA from 1 species
GUGACAGAAGAGAGUGAGCACACGGCCGGGCGUGAUGGCACCGGCGCGGAUGUGCCGUCGCGGCCGCGUGCUCACUACUCUUUCUGUCAU